CCGGGCGCCCCGCGCGGGGCGGGAGGGGGAGUCGGGGCCCAGCGGCGGCCGCCGAAUUCGGGCAGAGAGCUGGCGACGGUCCUGCGUCGGGGUUGCAGGUGCCAGGAUGUGCAGAGUUACCGGGACGGUCUUCUGAACGUUGCCAAGCUGAGGGCAGCCUUGGGCAGGCAACGGGUGUUGUGGUCAGACCUUUGGCACUCAGGACUGGAGCCCCUACUACUGGCCUCUUGAGGGCCACCUCUGGGAACUUUCUUAAGGAAGAUGGUGCCAGAUUUGGCUCUUCUGUGCAUUUCUGCCUCUUAAACAAGGCCGCUAAAAGAGUUGGGAUGCGGAGGACCUGCUCGUGGUGACCAGCAACAUGCCCCUCCCAGAGGUUGGGGUACCUGGCAGAGCCCCCAGGCCUGCUUUCUCUGCCGUGGGUUCUCAGUCCACUGUGAAAACCUGCUGGUUGUGGGGCAUGCCCAGAGCAGUCUGCUGGCGUGCAGGUGCCAGGACACUUCCCGCAGGCCUGGUGUCCUCUCCCAGACAGUGGGGGUUGACAGCUGGAACUGGCUCUGUGAUUGCCAGAACAGCCCGAGGGAGAGGCAGGAUUAGUUGAGGACUGGCAUGGAAUUGGGCUCACUUUUGGAGGGACCCUGUCCUAAAGGUCACUGUGGCGUACCAAGUGUCACACCCAGCAGGUCUAGUAGGGCCACGUUCUGCAGGUGACAGGGAGGCGUGCAUAGCCUUGGGGUUGAGAACCAGUGGAGCUCAUUGGCUGCCACAGGGCAAUGACUUGCUGUGGGUGACCCUUCAGUGAGCCCUGGUGUUCUCAGCCAACCCAAAAGGCCACUUUUGCGCUGGGGGGGGGGGGGGGAGCAAAAACCCUGAGGUCAGGAGGGGCUCCAGUGCCAGCCCCCAACACAGCCUGGCCCUCCAGAGACUCGUGAUGACGGCUGCCUGUGUACUCACACCAGGCUUGCCUGGGGAGCUGGCCUGGCCUGGACCUGCCCUGCCAUGGACUGAUGUGUGUGUUUGUGUGUGUGGGAGCUGGGCCUCUUCUUACCUCAACAGAACUCACAUCAUUGUUUUCAAAGUACAGUUUAAAGCUCAAAAGUAAACUUCAGCAACUCC